AGAUUAAGACAUUUUGGAAAAUACUACCUUUCUCUUGAACUAUUGGAUAAAUUUAAAUCAGAAGAAUCUAGUUAUAACAAAGCUUGGUAUUUUAAUAUCCUCGGUCUUUUAUACCGAGACACCGGGAAAUAUAGCGAAGCUAAAAAUCAUCAUGAAAAAGCUCUGGAAAUUCAAAAACAAUCGUUAGAUCCAAAUUAUGUUGAUAUCGCUGUGUCUUUAAACAAUCUUGGAAUGGUGUUUGAUAAAACUGGAAACUACGACAAAGCUAUAGAGUGUUACGAAAAAGCUCUGGAAAUUCAAAAACAAUCGUUAGGUCCAAAUCAUGUUGAUGUCGCUGCGUCUUUAGGCAAUCUUGGUGGGGUGUUUAAAAAGACUGGAAACUACGACAAA